rnacentral:rRNA from 1 species
AGAAUCAACGCUGGCGGCGUGCCUAACACAUGCAAGUCGAACGAGAAAGGGUAGCAAUACCUGAGUAAAGUGGCGCACGGGUGAGUAACACGUGACUAACCUACCUUUUAGUGGGGGAUAACCUAGGGAAACCUGGGCUAAUACCGCAUAAUACCUACGGGUCAAAGCAGCAAUGCGCUGAUAGAGGGGGUCGCGGCCGAUUAGCUAGUUGGCGGGGUAAUGGCCCACCAAGGCAGUGAUCGGUAUCCGGCCUGAGAGGGGCGCGACGGAACGACGACUAGGAAACUGAAACACGGUCCAGACUCCUACGGGAGGCAGCAGUGGGAAUUUUGCGCAAUGGGGGAAACCCUGACGCAGCAACGCCGCGUGGAGGAUGAAGUCCCUUGGGACGUAAACUCCUUUCGAUCGGGACGAUAAAUGACGGUACCGGAAGAAGAAGCCCGGCUAACUUCGUGCCAGCAGCCGC